rnacentral:rRNA from 1 species
CCUACGGGAGGCAGCAGUGAGGAAUAUUGGUCAAUGGCCGCAGGGCUGAACCAGCCAAGUCGCGUGAGGGAUGACGGUCCUAUGGAUUGUAAACCUCUUUUGUCAGGGAGCAAAGGGCGCCACGUGUGGCGCUUUGCGAGUACCUGAAGAAAAAGCAUCGGCUAACUCCGUGCCAGCAGCCGCGGUAAUACGGAGGAUGCGAGCGUUCUCCGGAUUUAUUGGGUUUAAAGGGUGCGCAGGCGGAAUGUCAAGUCAGCGGUAAAAUUUCGGGGCUCAACCCCGUCGUGCCGUUGAAACUGGCGUUCUUGAGUGAGCGAGAAGUAUGCGGAAUGCGUGGUGUAGCGGUGAAAUGCAUAGAUAUCACGCAGAACUCCGAUUGCGAAGGCAGCAUACCGGCGCUCAACUGACGCUCAUGCACGAAAGCGUGGGUAUCGAACAGGAUUAGAUACCCCGGUAGUC